GCCCGGCUAGCUCAAUCGGUAGAGCGUGAGACUCUUAAAAACAGUUCACGGUUUAAAUCUCAAGGUUGUGGGUUCGACCCCCACGUCGGGCU